GUUCUUAUGGUGUAUGUGAGCACAUGAGAUUUUCAAUCUUUUGGGGCACUAAAUGUAUUAUGAUAGUGUUAAGAAUA
rnacentral:tRNA from 1 species